rnacentral:rRNA from 1 species
CUUGACACUGAACAUUGAGCCUUGAUGUGUAGGAUAGGUGGGAGGCUUAGAAGUGUGGACGCCAGUCUGCAUGGAGCCGACCUUGAAAUACCACCCUUUAAUGUUUGAUGUUCUAACGUGGACCCGUGAUCCGGGUUGCGGACAGUGUCUGGUGGGUAGUUUGACUGGGGCGGUCUCCUCCUAAAGAGUAACGGAGGAGCACGAAGGUUGGCUAAUCCUGGUCGGACAUCAGGAGGUUAGUGCAAUG